AACGUAGGUGACAAGCGUUAUCCGGAUUUACUGGGCGUAAAGCGUGUGCAGGCGGGUGACCAAGUGGUGUAUGAAAGCGCCCGGCUUAACCGGGCGAGUGUAGGCCAGACUGGUCAUCUGGAGGCAGAGAGAGGGACAUGGAAUUCCGGGUGUAGUGGUAAAAUGCGUAGAGAUCCGGAGGAACUCCAGAAGCGAAGGCGGUGUCCUGGCUCUGACCUGACGCUCAGACACGACAGCAUGGGGAGCGAACGGG
rnacentral:rRNA from 1 species